GACACAUGGAGAUGCUAUGGAUGUUGAGUGAGAUAGAUGAUGGCCCUGAGGCUUAUGCGCCAUGAGUGGAGCCAAGGAGGAAAACAGGAAUUCCAGAGAUGUCUUCCUUGAAUGCUUCUCAUGAAAGAUGACUCUAUCACGUCUUCUAAUAUCUUCAUAGAAACUGGAGUGUUCCUGUUAGGCAAGAAUCCAAAGAAGAUAUUGAGCAAUGUAUAACCAGGGACUUCAUUGCCUUCACAGAAUUUUAAUAUCGCUGCAACUUCCCAGUACGGACUUGUGCUUGUCUCAUAGAACGGGACCACAAGAUGCAGUAUUUUAAAGUUGAUCAUCACAACCCAAAACUUUAUAAAAAUCAAUGUGAAGUUAUUAAAAUGAUUAUUUUGAAAUCAUUUCAAAUGUUAAUAAAGCCUGUUUGAAAUUC